GGCAUGUGCCACCAUACUGAGCUAAUUUGUUAAACACUUUUUUUGUAGAGACGAGGUCUUGCUACAUUGCCCAGAGUGGUCUCUGAACUCUCAGCCUCAAGUGAUCCUACUGCCUUGGCCUCCUAAAGUACUGGCAUAACAGACAUGAGCCACUGCACCUGGCUCCUAAGUUCUUUUCUUUUUUUUUUAUUUUUUGAGGUGGAGUCUCACCCUGUUGCCCAGGCUGGAGUGCAAUUGCGUGAUCUCGGCUCACUGCAACUUCCACCUCCUGGGUUCAAGUGAUUCUCCUGCCUCAGCCUCCUGAGUAGCUAGGAUUACAGGCGUGCACUACCACGCCUGGCUAAUUUUUUGUAUCUUUAGUAGAGUUGGGGUUUCACCAUGUUGGCCAGGCUUGUCUCAAACUCUUGACCUGGUGAUCCACCCACCUUGGCCUCCCAAAGUGUUGGGAUUACAGGCGUGAGCCACCGCGCCUGGCCAAGUAAUAUCUUAAUAUCACGCCAUUGACAUUUAUCCUCUAAUUAUUUCAGAGGUGGCCUUCAGAAGAAGGCCUCUUUGGUAAAAUUGCUAUUGAGGAUAUUUCACUGAAAAACAAAUUUAUCUUUAAAUUUAAAUCCAGGAAAAAUUUAAACUUUUAGGCUUCUAUCAGACAGGGUAAAAAAUUUAUAACUCAGAAUAUUACCUUUUCCCCUCUUUGUGUGAUGGAUUGCUUGGUUUUAGUUACUGAUUAUUUAAAAUAAUAAGUUAUUCAAAUCUAGGACUUUGAUACAAUAGUUCUUCUCUAGAAUAUAGUGUGUGUGUGAGAGUAUAUUUAAAAUUUUUAUUAAGGCCCAUGGGGCAGUCCUUAAGGAAACCAGACCUCGGGGAUUGCCAGGCAGGAUUAGUGGCAGGAAUUGAGAGAACAGAGCCCCACUAAGCUCGUCGGGGACUGUCCCCCAGUCACAAGAGUAUCUCAAGGAAGUAGUCUUCUCCCACAUCCCCCAAAGAUAGCUACCAGAGGAUCAGUCCUCUGAGCCCUUCUCAGUGUAGAAAAGACAAGUGUCAAAGCUUCCCCACUCACCCUGAGUUUGCCUUCUAUGACAAUAUGUCAUUUGGCCUCACUGAGGCUGAGCAGAGGAUGCUGGACCUCCCAGGAUAUUUUGGGUCAAAUGAAGAGGAUGAAACCACAAGUACACUUAGCAUGGAGAAGCUGGUGAUCUAGAGUGAGAAUCAGCCUGAGCUUAACACAGCUAGGGGGUCUGCUACUCAUGUUUUGUAGACUUUUGUGUAACUAUUUGUACCGUAGGACAGAAUGUGAGGAGGAAGUAACACACACAGAGGAGGAUGUGUGUGUAUGCAUGUGCUUGAAUUCACAAGGAAGAAAUUAUUUAUCUUGAGCCUUUUCCUUUGUUAUUCAAUUUUUAUUUGUUUAUUACUAAUAAUGAUAAUAAAAUGUAAACAAGAGCAAA
rnacentral:sRNA from 1 species